AUUAGAUACCCGUCUAUUCAUGGAAUAAAUAAAGUCGAAAAAUACGAACUACAGUUUAAAACUUAAAGAUUUUGGCGGUGUCUCAUCGAACCAGGGGAACCUGUCUCAUAACUCGAUAAUCCACGAAAAUCUUACCCUCUCUAGAUCAACCAGCUUGUGUACUGCCGUCGUAAGCACACCUCUAAAAGUACGAGUAUGCAACUAUGUCAAACUCAUAUACGUCAGGUCAAAGUGCAGCUAAUGAAAGGGGCGACGAUGGGUUACACCCUAAAUAAAGAUACGAAAUAUGGCACCAAAAGCCACAUGAAGGUGGACUUGGACGUAACAAAAAUACAAAAUUAAAAUGAAAACGAAUCUGAGACAUGCACACAUCGCCCGUCACUCUUGCCCAAAGGUGAGAUAAGUCGUAAC
rnacentral:rRNA from 1 species